ACGCCCCCUGCGCAAGCGCAGUCCCCAUGCUGCGUGCAGGGUCUCGCGCCGUGGCCCGCGCCGCGGUCACCUGCGCUCGAGGCUCUGGGGCGCUGGAUCCUUGCACUGCAGCCAUGUCCCGACCGCUGCAGGCAGCUUCGGGAGCCCGGGCUCGGCCCGCCACGGUGCUGGGCACCAUGGAGAUGGGUCGCCGCAUGGACGCCCCCGCCAGCGCCGCUGCCGUGAGCGCCUUCGUGGAGCGUGGCAACAGCGAGCUGGACACGGCCUUCAUGUACGGCGACGGCCAGUCUGAGAGCAUCCUGGGCGGCCUGGGGCUCGGGCUGGGCGGCAGCGGCUGCAGAGUGAAAAUCGCCACCAAAGCCAACCCCUGGGAUGGGAAAUCGCUGAAGCCCGACAGCGUCCGGUCCCAGCUGGAGACGUCGCUGAAGCGGCUGCAGUGCCCCCGCGUGGACCUCUUCUAUCUGCACGCGCCCGACCACGGCACCCCCGUGGAGGAGACGCUGCGCGCCUGCCACCAGCUGCACCAGGAGAGCAAGUUCGUGGAGCUGGGUCUCUCCAACUACGCCGCCUGGCAGGUGGCCGAAAUCUACACCCUGUGCAAGAACCACGGCUGGAUCCAGCCCACCGUGUACCAGGGCAUGUACAACGCCACCACCCGCCAGGUGGAGAAGGAGCUGUUCCCCUGCCUCAGGCACUUUGGGAUGAGGUUCUACGCCUACAACCCUUUGGCUGGGGGCCUGCUGACGGGCAGGUACAAGUAUGAGGACCAGGAUGCAAAAAAGCCAGAGGGCCGCUUCUUUGGGAAUAACUGGGCAGAGACGUACAGGAAUCGCUACUGGAAGGAGGAGCACUUCAAGGGCAUUGCCCUGGUGGAGAAGGCCCUGCAGGCUGCGUAUGGCAGCAGCGCCCCCAGCAUGACCUCGGCCGCCCUGCGCUGGAUGUACCACCACUCCCAGCUGCAGGGCGCCCACGGGGACGCGGUCAUCCUGGGCAUGUCCAGCCUGGCGCAGCUGGAGCAGAACCUGGCAGCCGUGGAGGAAGGGCCCCUGGAGCCGGCCGUCGUGGAGGCCUUCGAGCGAGCCUGGCACCUGGUUGCCCACGACUGCCCCAACUACUUCCGCUAGGCUGCUCCCGGCUCAGCUGCCAUGGCCCUUAUCUGAACGCCUUCUCCGCCCCCCGCCAGUCUCUGCCUUAGCUGAGGCCUCCAGACCCUCGGGGUCCAUGCACUCCCUCUCCAGGCCCCCGCCUGGGCCUGUGCCUUCGCAGUGCGGGCGGCCAAGGCCGAUCCUGCACAAGCUUUGCCUGCUGAGUGAGGCGGGCCCUUCCCUGGUGCAGCCUGCCCGGGUGAACCCCAACCUCAUCUCCUCUGCUGCUUGCAACUCGUCCCCAGCCCGCCCUGGGCCUGAGCGGGGGCUGAGCCAGGCGCUGGGUCUGAAAGGGCAGAUGCGGUGGGAGGGGUCCCCAGGUCUCCUGGUCCCAGUGCCGGCUCCAGGCUGACCGCUCAGCAGUGGCUGCGGGCCCUCAGUCCUCCCCGGCCGCAGGGUGUCUCCCUCAGGAGCCUCGCUGGGUCCUUAGAAAUGGGACCUCGGGGACGAGUCCCCGUGAGCGUCACCAGCAAGGACAAGGCCCCUCAGGAGGCCUGGCCCCUUUGUCACUGUCCCUGUCUCUGCCCUGGCUUCAGUCUCACCCAGCUGAAGCCCCUGUCCUGCCCUCCGUAAGACUCGGCCUGGGCCCUGGCCUCCUUCGCUUGGGGUGGGGCACAGGCAGCCGGGUCCCGUGGCCUCUGCCAGUCCCUGGAGGCUGGGGGUAGAGGCCCAGGCCUGCUGGUGGCUGUUUGCCCAUCCUCCCCAUCUCCCUGCUUAGACUCCCUCCAGACCUGGGCUGGGAUGAGGCUUCAAGUACAUAUUGAGGGCAGCAGUGCAGGCAGCCAGCACUUGGAGCUGUCUCUUGAAAUUCUAAAGGGGCUCACUUGGAAAUCCAGACCCUGUCAUGAAUUUAUAAAACUCUGAUCUCAGAGGCUCCUGGCCUCGGAUCAGCCCAGCUCCAGUCGUGGCAGCCACUUGGGAGUGAACCAGGGGAUGAAAGAUCUCUCACUCUCUCUGCCUCUGCCUCUCUGUAACUGUUUCAAAUAAAUAAAGGAAUAUUUAAAAAAUGAAAGAG